UUUAACAGCUGCAAAGAAAACUAAAAGAUUUAGAAAAACUAAAAUAUUUAGAAAACUUAAAGAAAACUAAAACUAAGCACAGAGAACUGAGAACAAACUAAACUUCCACAACACAAUCUUACUUUUCAAAAUAAUCAGGUUUCAGAUCUUCCUGGCAUUUUCAUUUAGGUAUUUUUUCAGAUGUUGCUAAUUAAUUGUUGCCUCCUUACUUAGCAGGACAGAAACACUUUAUGGAAGAGCUGACAGCACUUCACAUAACAUACUCACUUUCCAACCUAGCAUUUACAGUGCCAAGACUGAAAAAGAGAGUGGUCAGACUAGGCUUGCCUAUUAUCCUAUAGAGUGCUGAUGUGGGUUUGUUUCCUUUCAUGGGAUGCAGAAACACAGCAUUCCUGUGACUGUGGCCUUCUCUCCAUAUACCUUUAUGUCCAUAAUCUAGUAUGCACCUGACCCUGCAAAUAAGGAGCCGUCGCAUCCUACCACUGCCUGGGCAAAGUUGUGUAUUUUUCCUACAAGCUAUUGCUGGCUUUAGAUUCCUUGCUUAAAUGUUUUAUAUACUAAUCUACAAACUUACCUGGCCAGGGAUUCUGUCCUCUUCUAACUCUGGAUGUUUCUAAGACGUUGCUGUAUACAUAUAGAUGAGGAUCUCUGGUAUAAGUUGCUCUGGGAAGCACUCGAGGACCUUUCUGACCAGUACUAUCCUAAAUUAAGUUGCAUUUUCUGGAAAUGAGGCAAAUGCCUCUAAAAGAGCUGCAUGAUGCCAACAAAAUUGUUUCUUCUAUUAGCUGUAUUUUUUUUUUUUCCCAAGGGUCACCAAACCAGCCUGGUGAGGGAAGAAGGGCUCUGGAGCUUUCAACACUGUAAAAGAGUGCACUGCAUGUGUGUUAAGAUCGUGAAUACCAGGAUGUCUCCUGGUAGGGAUGGAGAGAGUAACAGUGGUAUCAGAGAUGGGUGAUGGCACAGAUGUCCCCUAUGCAGUGCCACCUUGUGUGCCACCGGCCAGUACUUACACUUCAGCCAGCGAGCCCCGGCAUGCGUGUCCUUGUCCCGAAUCAGCCUUCUCUGCGUGCAGCUCCUGCAGAGGUACCACAGCAUCCACAGCAGCUGGAUCAGCAUCAGCGUGAUCAAGUAGGAGAGCAGGUGGCUCUUGCUGAUGCCCACGGCAUGCACAGCCCAGGCGAAGAGACACGCGGCGUAACACGCUCGCAGAUAAGGAGACCGGACAAGCAGCGAGCGGUGAACGCAACGCCCUGACAGCUGGUGGCUGCCUGGGAAGUUGAGGAGUGACCAACGUGUGGGAGAUGCUCAGAGAGAGCAGCCCUUC